GUGGGGAAUAUUGGACAAUGGGGGCAACCCUGAUCCAGCGACGCCGCGUGAGUGAUGAAGGCCUUCGGGUCGUAAAGCUCUGUUGCAGGGGAAGAACACAAUGACGGUACCCUGCUAGAAAGGAUCGGCUAACUUCGUGCCAGCAGCCGCGGUAAGACGAGGGAUCCUAGCGUUGUGCGGAAUUAUUGGGCGUAAAGCGGGUGCAGGUGGCUUGGUAAGUCAGAUGUGAAAGCCUGGGGCUUAACCCCAGAAGUGCAUUUGAUACUGCUGAGCUUGAGUGCUGGAGAGGCUAUUAGAAUUCCUGGUGUAGUGGUGAAAUACGUAGAUAUCAGGAGGAAUACCGGAGGCGAAGGCGGAUAGCUGGCCAGACACUGACACUCAGACCCGAAAGCAUGGGGAUCAAACAGGAUUAGAUACCCCUGUAGUCC
rnacentral:rRNA from 1 species